rnacentral:pre_miRNA from 1 species
UACCUUCCGUGCGCUGGCCGGCCCCCAGGCUGGGCUGGGAGAGCAUGUCUUCAAAAGGCUCAUCCUCCAGGACGACUAGGAGC